GCUGGCAGAUAAGAGGGGAUGCACAGCUGAAGCAAAAAGAAGGAAUUUGGAGAAGGAAAGAAAAUAAUACAACUUCCUGCUCACUUCCUGCCUGCCUUUUGUAUGCAUCCGGGGCACAAGCUGUUAUUCAACUUUUGACCUGCAUUGUAAGGGAUACACUGUGAUGACCAUUGGAAAGAUCAACAUGUCAGGAGAAAGUGCCAUGUUCUUAGAUUGUUCUGGACCCAUAUUGCAACUACACCGAGUCAGACACACGAUGAGGACGAAUUUUAAUGAUCAAACUAAAAAAACGAGGAAACCCAGGAACGAGAGCGCAGCAGGAAGAUAACUAUAAAAACUAAAACACAAAAGAAUCAACUAAGGGAAACACCUAAGAAUAAUAAAGAAAUGAACAGAAGAAAGCGAGACCUAAAGAAUAAACAGUAAGGAAAUGGUCAAAACACACCAAGAAAUGAAAACUCAAGCAUGUCAGGAUGGUGAUGGAAAGUUGAUGUUAAAGCGGCCUCUGAGGAUGAUAUUGACGUUCUGCCUGGCAAAAUGUUCUGGUGAGUUCUGCUUCUGUUAGCAACGUUGCUGUUAAGGCAAGAAACAUUUCAGAACAAAUAUCAGUGCUUUCAGAAUCCAACUUAACAUAGAAAUUAGACUGGGCUUCUGGUCCCAUACUAAACGAGAUGUUAGUGACUCUUCUAAGUUUAUAAAGCAAGGGAGUCACACCUCUAUUAAUUUGUAGAGUUAUCUUAUUGAAGUGCUCAGCAACUUGAGUGACCCGGCUACAGCUGGCACUAACAAGGAGCAGUUGUGAGCCUUACAUGGAGAAAUGUCUGACUUGGACGUAAUACUGCAAGAAAUAAGAGGUUUCUGCUAAGAAAAUAAUAGUCAGCUAGAGGCUAUUAAGGAGGAGUUUGCAAAAAAUAAAUACAAGGAUGGUUGAAGCGGAAGGGAGGAUCGAAAAGGCCGAAGCAUUGAUACAGAAUAUCGAGGAAGUCCUUUCAGAGAUGUUAAAGUUACACUGCAGCUUUGAGGAGGGGCUGAUCGACUUGGAAAGUCGGCCGAAACGCGAGAAUGUACGGAUUUACAGCAUACCAAAGAAGGCAGAGAAGGAUUCUCCAACAAUGAUUACAUUCAUUGAAGGACUGCUCCGCAAUGGCCUAAGCUUAACCGAAGGUGAGGCUGAUCUGCAAAUUGAAAGAGCGCACUGCUCUGCGGGACCAUAAUCCCCGCCGAGGCUUCACAACAUUCUAUAAUUGGCAAGUUUCAAAGCUUCAAAGUAAAGGAGGUUAUACUCAGUAAACCUGGUGUGUGAAGGGUUUUAUCUGGAAAGACAACAAGAUAAGUUGGACCACGAUUACCCACAGCUCAUCAUUAAAAAAAGAAGAGAAUACACAGACAUCAGGUGAGUUUUGAGAGAUAAUCAAAUCCAAUUCCAGCCGCUUUUCCCAGCCAGGCUGAGGGUUAGGCAUAAAGAUGGAGCCAAAACUUACGACUGUUGAGGAAGCAUCCAAAGAUCUGAGCAGCAGGGGCUUUAAUAUGAAGAUAAUCAAGAGUCCUGAGACAAUGAUGGAACAGAUCCAGCAGCUCAUGUGGAAAAAAAGGGAUCUGCAAGGGAAGAAAAAAAAUCCACCCAGGUCAGGAACGGGCAUGGGCUAUAAAGAAAAGCUACGAGCCUUCAGAAGAUCUUGCCCAGCAUCCUCAGAAAAUUAAUGGGUUAAGUAAUAUCCUUUUUUUCUUGCUGUGAGAAAUUUUAUGUAAUUUUUUUGCUCGGUCAAGCAGGACAUGCAGCGAAUGUGAAGGGGCUUGUAUACACGUGAGGACAUGUAAGGUCGUACACGUGGGAAGAUGCACUGUAAACAUUGCCUUUCAGCCAUUUAAUCUGUCUCCCAUCUAUUCUUCUCUGCUUAGGUUUGCUCAUAUUUAUUUACUUGCUGGUUGUGAUCAUUAUAGUAACAAUGACUGAUAGAGCUCUGUUUUUGCUUUGUUUGUUUGGUUCAUGUCGGAUGUUAUUCCGCAACGUUGAACACCAAGAUAAAGACCCCUCCGAUAUUCCCUGGAUGGAGGGUUUUGGUUUUCUAUUUUUUUUUUCCUCCCCUUAGGGCCUCCCGUCGAGGUCCACUGGGAUCGUUCUCUUUGGACCCCUACAUAGGAAGUCAUUUUGGACAUUUAUUGUUAGUUUUGAAGUUUAGCAUUCUGGUGUAUGUUUCAUGUUCAUUUGUUCAUCCCUGUUUGUUCUUUUGGAGAUGUGGAAGCUUGCCUGAAUUUAUAAAGGUA